GACGAACGCUGGCGGCGUGCUUAACACAUGCAAGUCGAACGAUGAACCGGAGCUUGCUCUGGGGAUUAGUGGCGAACGGGUGAGUAACACGUGGGCAACCUGCCCCAGACACCGGGAUAACCAUUGGAAACGAUGGCUAAUACCGGAUACGACCACUUCGGGCAUCCGAUGGUGGUGGAAAGGAUUCUGGUCUGGGAUGGGCCCGCGGCCUAUCAGCUUGUUGGUGGGGUAAUGGCCUACCAAGGCGACGACGGGUAGCCGGCCUGAGAGGGCGACCGGCCAACGACUGGGACUGAGACACGGCCCAGACUCCUACGGGAGGCAGCAGUGGGGAAUAUUGCGCAACGGGCGAAAGCCUGACGCAGCGACGCCGCGUGAGGGACGAAGGUCUUCGGAUUGUAAACCUCUUUCAGCAGGGAUGAAGCGAAAGUGACAGUACCUGCAGAAGAAGCACCGGCUAACUACGUG
rnacentral:rRNA from 1 species